AAGCAUCGUCAGUAACAAGAAUUCCUUCAAACAGUUUUUCUUCGCGCAAAAAAAAUCUGAAAUAAUAGGAAUUGCUUCUUUGAAACUUCUCGGUAGUUCUAUAUUUGUAAUCCCCUAAGAAGGCCGCUUUUACAGGUAGUGAUUGAAAAAAAACCGUGUAAUCUAUUUACUCAGGGACAAUAUUAGAGGGGAAAAAAAAUCUCCGACGAGGAUUUGCUAUCCGUUUACACUUAUGCUUUAUUAUAUUAAUUACUGAAUGCAAAUGUGAGGACUUGACAUCUUUGUAUAGAACAUAAAGGAAAUUAUAUAAGUAAAGGAACUGAUAGCUGUUUAUAUUUUCCCUAUCAUUUCGAGAUUGUUCGGGACCCUUUUUAUUUGCCCAUUUAAGAUGGACCUCUACCUUUUGACGUAUUGAAUAGUGUAACAGCUUAUACCCCAGCAUACCGUUUAAUAAACUUUUCUUUCGCUUAGUACAUAAAUUUGUACACGUACACGAGAUUUAAAAGAAAACCCUCAGUAAACACAACCAUUUGAAACCGACUGAAAACUUCCUCGUUUAAUUUUUAAUAUUUGGGAACAGAUGGUUAUAAAGAAGUUUACAGGAGCUAAAGCGGCCAGGCGGGGUUAUUAAGCGUUAGUCCCUUAUGCGCUAUUACUGUUAAUAUUCCAUAAUACUUUAAUACUUUAUUAUUUAAACUCAAUUAAUAUAGUAACGCUGGCCAAUGCAGCUCCCUUAAUUAAAAAAUAGUCUUAACUCAAAAUCCCAGUUGAUUUUGCUUAAAAUACAAAGCAGAACUCUUCAGCGUGGCUGUAGCCAAAGGAAAACUAUUCUAACUAGCAACGGUGUUACAUUCGCAA